GACGAACGCUGGCGGCGUGCCUAAUACAUGCAAGUAGCACGCAGUUGCGAACGGGUGAGUAACGCGUAGGUAACUGCCUCAUAGCGGGGGAUAACUAUUGGAAACGAUAGCUAAUACCGCAUACUGUGAGAUGGACCUGCGUUGUAUUAGCUAGUUGGUGAGGUAAAGGCUCACCAAGGCGACGAUACAUAGCCGACCUGAGAGGGGUAGGGGCAACAAGGGGACUGGGACACGGCCAAGACUCCGACGGGAGGCAGAAGUGGGGAAUCUGCGGCAAGGGACGGAAGUCUGACCGGGCAAGGCCGCGGGAGGGAAGAAGGUUUGCGGAUCUAAAAGCUCUGUUGUAAGAGAAGCGGAAACUAACCAGAAAGGGACGGCGAACUCCGUGCCAGCAGCGGCGGUAAUAC
rnacentral:rRNA from 1 species